GACAGAGGGUGCAAACGUUGUUCAGAAUUACUGGGCGUAAAGCGAGUGUAGGCGGUUCGAUAAGUCGGGUGUGAAAGCCCUGGGCUCAACCCAGGAAGUGCACUCGAUACUGUCAGGCUAGAGUAUCGGAGAGGUUGGUGGAAUUCUCGGUGUAGAGGUGAAAUUCGUAGAUAUCGAGAGGAACACCGGUGGCGAAGGCGGCCAACUGGACGAAUACUGACGCUGAGACUCGAAAGCGUGGGGAGCGAACGGG
rnacentral:rRNA from 1 species